rnacentral:rRNA from 1 species
UACGAAGGGGGCUAGCGUUGUUCGGAAUUACUGGGCGUAAAGCGCACGUAGGCGGACAUUUAAGUCAGGGUGAAAUCCGGGCUCAACCCGGAACUGCCUUUGAUACUGGGUGUCUUGAGUGUGGUAGAGGUGAGUGGAAUUGCGAGUGUAGAGGUGAAAUUCGUAGAUAUUCGCAGGAACACCAGUGGCGAAGGCGGCUCACUGGACCACAACUGACGCUGAGGUGCGAAAGCGUGGGGAGCAAACAGG